rnacentral:rRNA from 1 species
ACGGUAAGGCCCCUUCGGGGGUACACGAGUGGCGAACGGGUGAGUAACACGUGAGUAACCUGCCCUUGACUCUGGGAUAACAUCUGGAAACAGGUGCUAAUACCGGAUAUUCAGCUUCCUCUGCAUGGGGGUUGUUGGAAAGCUCCGGCGGUCAAGGAUGGACUCGCGGCCUAUCAGCUUGUUGGUGAGGUAAUGGCUCACCAAGGCUCCGACGGGUAGCCGGCCUGAGAGGGCGACCGGCCACAUUGGGACUGAGAUACGGCCCAAACUCCUACGGGAGGCAGCAGUGGGGAAUAUUGCACAAUGGGCGCAAGCCUGAUGCAGCAACGCCGCGUGCGGGAUGACGGCCUUCGGGUUGUAAACCGCUUUCAUCCAUGACGAAGCGAGAGUGACGGUAGUGGAAGAAGAAGCACCGGCUAACUACGUGCCAGCAGCCGCGGUGAUACGUAGGGUGCGAGCGUUGUCCGGAUUUAUUGGGCGUAAAGAGCUUGUAGGCGGUUUGUCGCGUCGGGAGUGAAAACUCAGGGCUUAACCCUGAGCCUGCUUCCGAUACGGGCAGACUUGAGGAAGGUAGGGGAGAUUGGAAUUCCUGGUGAAGCGGUGGAAUGCGUAGAUAUCAGGAGGAACACCAGUGGCGAAGGCGGAUCUCUGGACCUUUCCUGACGCUGAGAAGCGAAAGCGUGGGGAGCAAACAGGAUUAGAUACCCUGGUAGUCCACGCCGUAAACGGUGGGUACUAGGUGUGGGGGACAUUCCACGUUCUCCGUGCCGCAGCUAACGCAUUAAGUACCCCGCCUGGGGAGUACGGCCGCAAGGCUAAAACUCAAAGGAAUUGACGGGGCCCCGCACAAGCGGCGGAGCAUGCGGAUUAAUUCGAUGCAACGCGAAGAACCUUACCUGGGUUUGACAUAUGCCGGAAACAUCUAGAGAUAGGUGCCCCUUUAUGGUCGGUAUACAGGUGGUGCAUGGCUGUCGUCAGCUCGUGUCGUGAGAUGUUGGGUUAAGUCCCGCAACGAGCGCAACCCUCGUCCUAUGUUGCCAGCGGGUAAUGCCGGGGACUCAUAGG